AACUCUCAACCCCCUCGUUUUGUAAUGAGACGAGCUGCGGGCUUGGUUUAUGGCUGUUUGUCGGCGUAAAUGCCGGCUCGGCUGAAAUUGACGAGCUACCCUGUUUGAAUACCAGACGGCUUGACUCGGCGUAAUAACUAUUUCGCUGAGGACGUCUACCUUUCAAAUCGUUAGUGGUGCUUCUAAUGCAACUUAUAACUUUAAGC
rnacentral:misc_RNA from 1 species